ACGAACGCUGGCGGCGUGCUUAACCCAUGCAAGUCGAACGGAAAGGCCCCUUUGGGGGUCCUCGAGUGGCGAACGGGUGAGUAACACGUGAGUAACCUGCCCUUGACUUCGGGAUAACUUCAGGAAACUGGGGCUAAUACCGGAUAGGAAUCCUUGCUGCAUGGUGGGGGUUGGAAAGCUUCGGCGGUUUUGGAUGGACUCGCGGCUUAUCAGCUUGUUGGUGGGGUAGUGGCUUACCAAGGCUUUGACGGGUAGCCGGCCUGAGAGGGCGACCGGCCACAUUGGGACUGAGAUACGGCCCAGACUCCUACGGGAGGCAGCAGUGGGGAAGAUUGCACAAUGGGCGGAAGCCUGAUGCAGCAACGCCGCGUGCGGGAUGACGGCCUUCGGGUUGUAAACCGCUUUCAGCAGGGGCGAAGCUUGUGGUGACGGUACCUGCAGAAGAAGCACCGGCUAACUACGUG
rnacentral:rRNA from 1 species